GACGAACGCUGGCGGCGUGCCUAAUACAUGCAAGUUGAGCGCUGAAGGUUGGUACUUGUACCGACUGGAUGAGCAGCGGACGGGUGAGUAACGCGUGGGGAAUCUGCCUUUGAGCGGGGGACAACAUUUGGAAACGAAUGCUAAUACCGCAUAAAAACUUUAAACACAAGUUUUAAGUUUGAAAGAUGCAAUUGCAUCACUCAAAGAUGAUCCCGCGUUGUAUUAGCUAGUUGGUGAGGUAAAGGCUCACCAAGGCGAUGAUACAUAGCCGACCUGAGAGGGUGAUCGGCCACAUUGGGACUGGGACACGGCCCAAACUCCUACGGGAGGCAGCAGUAGGGAAUCUUCGGCAAUGGACGAAAGUCUGACCGAGCAACGCCGCGUGAGUGAAGAAGGUUUUCGGAUCGUAAAACUCUGUUGGUAGAGAAGAACGUUGGUGAGAGUGGAAAGCUCAUCAAGUGACGGUAACUACCCAGAAAGGGACGGCUAACUACGUG
rnacentral:rRNA from 1 species